GGUCUCUUCUGAUUGAAGGACACCCCAAGUCUUCGGGGGUCUUUCAUCUGGGGGCUCGUCCGGGAUAGAGACCCCCACCCAGGGACCACCGACCCAUUUUCGGGAGCCCAUCUACAGGCAC